rnacentral:sRNA from 1 species
GAUAGUGGAAGAAAAGUAGAAGACCCUGAAUUGCUUGAGGCCAUUCGUCUCACAGUCAUA